rnacentral:rRNA from 1 species
GAAUAUUUGACAAUGGGGGCAACCCUGAUCCAGCCAUGCCGCCUGUGUGAAGAAGGCCUUCUGGUUGUAAAGCACUUUAAGCAGUGAAGCAGACGCCCUGGUUAAUACCCAUGCACUAUGACAUUCGCAGCAGAAUAAGCACCAGCUCACUCUGUGCCCGCAGCCGCGGGAAUACAGAGGGUUCAAGGGUUAAUCGGAAUUACUGGGCGUAAAGCGGGCGUAGGUGGCUUGAUAAGUCAACUGUGAAAUCCCCGGGCAUAACCUGGGAACUGCAUCUGAUACUGUUAGGCUAGAAUAGGUGGGAGGAAGGUAGAAUUCCAGGUGUAGCGGUGAAAUGCGUAGAGAUCUGGAGGAAUACCGAUGGCGAAGGCAGCCUUCUGGCAUCAUAUUGACACUGAGGUUCGAAAGCGUGGGUAGCAAAC